GAUGAACGCUGGCGGCGUGCCUAAUACAUGCAAGUCGAGCGAACGGACGAGAAGCUUGCUUUUCUGAUGUUAGCGGCGGACGGGUGAGUAACACGUGGAUAACCUACCUAUAAGACUGGGAUAACUUCGGGAAACCGGAGCUAAUACCGGAUAAUAUGUUGAACCGCAUGGUUCAAAAGUGAAAGACGGUUUUGCUGUCACUUAUAGAUGGAUCCGCGCUGCAUUAGCUAGUUGGUAAGGUAACGGCUUACCAAGGCAACGAUGCAUAGCCGACCUGAGAGGGUGAUCGGCCACACUGGAACUGAGACACGGUCCAGACUCCUACGGGAGGCAGCAGUAGGGAAUCUUCCGCAAUGGGCGAAAGCCUGACGGAGCAACGCCGCGUGAGUGAUGAAGGUCUUCGGAUCGUAAAACUCUGUUAUUAGGGAAGAACAUAUGUGUAAGUAACUGUGCACAUCUUGACGGUACCUAAUCAGAAAGCCACGGCUAACUACGUG
rnacentral:rRNA from 1 species